CGUCGUCACUAUAUGACAAAGGAACAAAAAAAACAGUCUGAAAUGAUGUCGAUAAAUACAUAUUUUAAUGUAGUAAAAGAUACAAAACCAGUCUACAGUUGCAGCAUGUUUCAGGCCUCUUUGGGUGUGCAACAGCAGCAGGAUCAGCGAGGGAAGUCUGCGCUGACAAGCAUCUCUACAGUUGAACCGACCGUCGUCUCAUUUGCCUAAACAAAUGUGAAGAUGGCAGACUGGAGUCCCAGGGCCAGAGGGGUCAACAGUCAGGAAUGAGGAAAUCCCACCCUGGCCCCGACAGAUAGAGGACAGGAAGCGGUGUCAUUUGCAUACACAUUCUCCCUCAGCCACAUGACAUGCAGCUGCGCACCACUGAUAGGACUCGGCCAGGUAACCGCUGAAAGGCCGAUGUCAACCACAGACCUGAAAUGGACUGACAGCACAGAUAAGAGAAGAAACACAAUGGUGGAUACAACUCAUUCACUUAUACAAUGAUAUAUUCUCAGCACAGAGGUGAAAAGCGCGAGAGCCGGUGGAUUUAUGACCCGGCGACCCUGCGGAGUGAUCACCACAGGUGACGACAUAUUUCUCUGUGAUCUCCCUCACCACCGACUACUUUACGGCUUGCGUAGUAAAGUCCUAAAAACACAGGAGCACCAGUGUUGAUUCAGGCAUGAGAGGAAGUGGAGCUAAUUACAGAGGGUGAUUUUGCAGUCUGCCUGAAGAGCGGCUUAAAUUGAGCGUGGAGAUUCCUGAUAAGAGAACUGCUUCACCCAACUGCAUUUCCAGAUGAAUCAACCACAAAGAAUGAGUCGCUUUGGAGAGGCUCAUUCUCAUUUUUAUCCAUGUUCCACCACGACAGAACCAGUGUGUGGAGGGUGUAAUGUGGUUACAGGUCCAGCAUCAUUUAAUAGAACUGCUGUAUGGCUCAACUCGGCUGAUGAUAUUCAGACCGUGACAUCAUGUCGUCCAGACUCUUCUAUCGAUGACAUCUCUCCACUACUCAUGUGAAACACCCAACUCUUGAUCUUAGGUCCAACUCUCAACUGUGGUCAGAGCUUAAGGUAGCAACCAAACAAGAUGCAUGGUACUAGUGUACCAAAUGAGUUUUCUCCACAGAGCGGAUGGACUUUCCCUUAUAGGCAGGGUGAGAACCACUGAGGUGGCUCAGGCAUCCUGUCAGGACGUCCUGAGAUCAGGUGUUCAAGGCGUGUCUAACUAGGAGGAGGCCACGUGGCAGACCCAGCACACACCCAGUUGACCUGCGUCUCAAUUCUCAGGCUGCCACCCCGACCAGCCGUGAAGAACAGAUGGGAAUAUAUUCCACUUGUACUGACAAGAUUGCAUAGAAAGGUAUUCCGCCACUAAAUGCUUAGUUCAUCUUUACAACCGAGUCAUAACACCAUUCCAUUUUAAGACAUAAAUUUACAUUUUGCUCUUUACAAAUAUUCAUUGCUAACUAUUGAUAUGAAACGUCCGCAUCAGUCCAAACACGACAGUGUUUACAUGCUGGUCAGCAGAGGAAUGUAAACCGACAACUGUCCUCGCCUGCUCAUCGACUCUCGCAGAUAAUAAUCUGCACAUUCUUUUGGAAUGUUUUGUAUUUUCCCCAAGGAACGUAAUAUAAGUGUUUUUAGGACAAUACUUACUGGUGUAUUCUGCAUGCAAUGACACAAGAAGAGCAACUCAUGUGCCACAGAUACAUGAAAAAAGUUUAGAAAAUGCAUGACCAAUGAAACUAGAGACGGCACGUAACUCCUCACACCACCUUUGACACGACUUGACUACGAACAAAACAAUUCAAGGAUUGUGUUGACGCACAGAAAAGCCUCCAGCCUGGAUUCACUUCUCCAAUCUGAAAAUUUCCAGAAAAUUCCUUCACAGCUUUCCUAGCUAUGAUGUCGACAAACAAACCCAAAAUAUGACUCGGCGGUAACAAAGGAGGGAGUUCAACUAGCACCUGGGGACAUCACAGAAAACCCUAGCAGAAACAGUGUGCCAGAAAAAAAGACGUCCACAAUAAACCACAGACAGACACACUCAGUCGUCGUGAUUGAACAAAGGAUGUUCAAAUGAGACUUUGCAUAACUAAACUCACCAUAGCAGAGUGUUCUUGAUCUGCAGCCAACAGCUCACAUUGAGCAGAGCAGCAGGAGAAGACAUCUAAAUGUCAACCAGGUCAAUUCAGCUGUGACUUUCGCACAACCAUGAGGUCCACAUCAUUCAUGAAAAACCAAACUUUAGACCCAAUGGAGGACAUUGUUUUGUCUGAUUCAUCGGGGUGAACAAAGCAGAUGUUUACAUGCUGCAGGACAGUAGCGUGCGUGCAAGCGUGCUCAUUGUUGAAGGUUUCCUUUAUAGAACAGGACCCUUGGCACUGGUCGGCCUGAUGCAGUCUGUCUCCUCAGCAUUCCAGGGCAGCAGCGCCUUCAGUUCCCCUGCGUAAGACAAGAGCGCCAAUUCCACACCCUGUCUCCCAGCCACACCCCUCCAGAGUGCCUCAAGGACAACAUAUA